rnacentral:rRNA from 1 species
AUUGAACGCUGGCGGCAUGCCUUACACAUGCAAGUCGAACGGUAACGCGGGGGAACCUGGCGACGAGUGGCGAACGGGUGAGUAAUGUAUCGGAACGUGCCCAGUAGUGGGGGAUAGCCCGGCGAAAGCCGGAUUAAUACCGCAUACGACCUAAGGGUGAAAGCGGGGGAUCGCAAGACCUCGCGCUAUUGGAGCGGCCGAUAUCAGAUUAGGUAGUUGGUGGGGUAAAGGCCUACCAAGCCGACGAUCUGUAGCUGGUCUGAGAGGACGACCAGCCACACUGGGACUCAGACACGGCCCGGACUCCUACGGGAGGCAGCAGGGGGGAAUUUUGGACAAUGGGCGCAAGCCUGUUCCAGCCAUGCCGCGUGCGGGAAGAAGGCCUUCGGGUUGUAAACCGCUUUUGUCAGGGAAGAAAAGGUCUGAACUAAUACUUUGGGCUCAUGACGGUACCUGAAGAAUAAGCACCGGCUAACUACGUGCCAGCCGCCGCAGUAACAC